AUUGAACGCUGGCGGCAGGCCUAACACAUGCAAGUCGAGCGGAGCGGCGGACGGGUGAGUAAUGCCUAGGAAUCUGCCUGGUAGUGGGGGAUACCGUCCGGAAACGGGCGCUAAUACCGCAUACUAUCAGAUGAGCCUAGGUCGGCUUAGCUAGGUGGUGGGGUAAAGGCCUACCAAGGCGACGAUCCGUCACUGGUCUGAGAGGAUGAUCAGUCACACUGGAUCGGAGAAACGGCCCAGACUCCUACGGGGAGCAGCAGGGGGUAAUAUUGAAAAAUGGGCGAAAGCCUGAUCCAGCCAUGCCGCGUGUGUGAAGAAGGUCUUCGGAUUGUAAAGCACUUUAAGUUGGGAGGCGUUACCAACAGAAUAAGCACCGGCUAACUUCGUGCCAGCGGCCGCGUAAUUC
rnacentral:rRNA from 1 species